AUGAGUGUCUAUAAACUCCCUGCUUCGGUUUGCGACGAGUUGACUCGUAUGAUCCGUCAAUAUUGGUGGGGAGUUGAAAACGGGAAGAAGAAGAUGGCAUGGAUGAGUUGGGACAGAUUGAGGCUACCUAAAUCUAUGGGUGGCAUGGGGUUUAAGGACAUGAGGGCUUUUAACCAAGCAUUGUUGGCCAAACAAGCUUAG
rnacentral:rRNA from 1 species